GGAGAGGUGGCAGAGCGGUCUAUCGCGGCGGCUUGCUAAGCCGUUGUACGGGUUUUCGCCUGUACCCAGGGUUCGAAUCCCUGCCUCUCCG
rnacentral:tRNA from 1 species